AACGCACAUUGCACUCUCUGGUAUUCCGGAGAGUAUGCUUGUUUGAGUAUCUGUAAACAUCUCAAAUCUCCCAGCGCUUGCGCAAAAGAGAAUUGGAUUUGAGCGAUCCCGACUCCUUCGUCAGAAAGAGGAGGGCCGCUUGAAAUGCAGGUGCAGCUGGACAUUCUUCUGAGCUAAAAGCAUAUCUAUUUAGUCCCUUCAAACGGAUUAUUACUUUUGCUUCAGCUAAUAUAAAGGUCGAAUGAACAACCAACGCUGAUUGCAGGAAAACUCGUUCUUAACCGAACUUGUAAACUCGAUCUCAAAUCAAGUAAGACUACCCGCUGAACUUAA
rnacentral:misc_RNA from 1 species